rnacentral:tRNA from 1 species
AGAUCCGAAGCUCAACAAGGUUAGAGCGCUUGGCCACUGGUCAAGAGGUGCAGGUUCGAUUCCUGCCGGAUUAA